GAAGACAGGCCAUAAAAAAGAAUGGGCUGCAGGCAGUAAAAUAUUGAUGGAGAGAAACUGAAAACAUCAGAGCAUCGAAACUCUUUGCACUGCUCCAGACGAUCUGAGCCCUGACAACCUCCUGACUUGGGAAAUCCAGAUUUCAAUACAGCAUUACUAGGAAAUCGAGUCCUCAAACCAGGAGUCAGAAACUGUGGUUUCAUAUUCUGAAAACAAUCAACUACAUAAGCCACUUGGGAAUCAUGCCAGACAAAAGAUGUGGGCUAGAUGGAUCUACGACCUGACCUUAUGGGGGCCGACUCAAGUUUUCAUGGAACCACAGAACAUUAGUGCUGACAUGAGCUGCCCCAACAACCUCACCAUAAAGAUGAAGUCACAAAGAAGUUAAGCAGUUGGCCCAAGGUUAUGCAGCUGAUCAAGGACUGAAAUGAAAUGUAGACCUGUGCUCUUUUUAAUUUCUCAUCUUUCUGGUGCCUCAGAAGAGCACAGGCUUUUAAAAACAUUUAUUCAAGUAAGACAUGCUCUAAAUUCCAACAAUGACUUCUCCAGCCUGUAUUGGGUGGGAUAUAAUCAGUCAUGACUUUCUAGAUCUAAAGUCAGUGAACUGAACCCACCCAGCCAAAACCAUUUAUAUCAGCUUCUUUCUGCAGCUCAGAAUAUUAUAUGUGCUCCCGUGUGCUGUCUGUUCUGCAGCCCUGAAAAUGUACCCUGAGACCUCCUCAUGUGAAGGAAACAGACCCCAGCUGGCCAGCCCCACUGUGACUGCAAUAUGGACUUCAGCUGCUCCACUAUAGGGUUGUGUUCAGUGAACUGCAUUUUUAAAAAAUGUUAAUAUCUACAUGGCUCUCACCCAACAGCCUUAAGAAUACCAGCUGUACCGUGCUUUCGCCUCUACUUUGACAGCCUUAAGAACAGCUCCCGAAGAAUAGAACAUUCUUCAGGGGAGGGCUGUUGGUUUUGCAGAUAUUUUAGGAGGAGGAGAAGAUGAAAGAGAUUUCAUGUUGAAAUGUCAUAUAUGGAAAGGGAUGGGACAUGACAGAAGAAGAAAUCUGGUAUGCUUUCAAUGCCUUUCAUGUACCAAGCACUGGGUUGGGCCAGUACUCAUGCCUUUGCAUUUGGUCCUCACAACGCUGAGAUAAGCAGAAUAACCACAGUUUUAUAGAUGAGAAAACUGAGGCUUAGAAAGAUUAAGAGACUUGCCCAAAGCCAAACAAGGAAUUUGCUGCAUAGCUGGUAUAGUAGUUUGCAAUGGCUGUUGGC